GACGAACGCUGGCGGCGUGCCUAAUACAUGCAAGUUGAGCGCUGAAGGUUGGUACUUGUUCCAACUGGAUGAGCAGCGAACGGGUGAGUAACGCGUGGGGAAUCUGCCUUUGAGCGGGGGACAACAUUUGGAAACGAAUGCUAAUACCGCAUAAAAACUUUAAACACAAGUUUUAAGUUUGAAAGAUGCAAUUGCAACACUCAAAGAUGAUCCCGCGUUGUAUUAGCUAGUUGGUGAGGUAAAGGCUCACCAAGGCGAUGAUACAUAGCCGACCUGAGAGGGUGAUCGGGCACAUUGGGAAUGAGAAACGGCCCAAACCCCUAAGGGAGGCAGCAGUAGGGAAUCUUCGGGAAUGGACGAAAGUCUGACCGAGCAACGCCGGGUGAGGGAAGAAGGGUUUCGGAUCGGAAAACUCUGUUGGUAGAGAAGAACGUUGGUGAGAGGGGAAAGCUCAUCAAGUGACGGUAACUACCCAGAAAGGGACGGCUAACUACGUG
rnacentral:rRNA from 1 species